rnacentral:snRNA from 1 species
AGCUUUGCGCAGUGGCAGUAUCGUAGCCAAUGAGGUUUAUCCGAGGCGCGAUUAUUGCUAAUUGAAAAUUAAUUUAGAUUUUCACAGAUAAUGCUUUGUAUGUGACUCUUUAACUCAAUACACA